GAUGAAGAACGUAGUGAAAUGCGAUAAUUAAUGUGAAUUGCAGAAUUCAGUGAAUCAUCGAGUCUUUGAACGCACAUUGCGCCCCCUGGUAUUCCGGGGGGCAUGCCUGUCCGAGCGUCAUUGCUGCCCUCAAGCACGGCUUGUGUGUUGGGCUUCCGUCCCUGGCAACGGGGACGGGCCCAAAAGGCAGUGGCGGCACCAUGUCUGGUCCUCGAGCGUAUGGGGCUUUGUCACCCGCUCCCGUAGGUCCAGCUGGCAGCUAGCCUCGCAACCAAUCUUUUUAACCAGGUUGACCUCGGAUCAGGUAGGGAUACCCGCUGAACUUAAGCAUACAAUAAGCGGAGGA
rnacentral:misc_RNA from 1 species